rnacentral:lncRNA from 1 species
AAAUGGGGUGUCUACAUUUGCCCAGCUUUGGCACUCCCUAUCCUUCGAGGGGCUAGCGAGUGGCAAAGAAGUAGACACUCUGAUGUUUCAUAUCUUUCGGGGGGCAGGUGAACGUCAGAGAUAAACCAGACAUUUUAAAUUUCAUCCUGAAGUCACGUGGUCAGGGAGCAUACCAACUAUCCCUCCAAGUCAUUGCGCUCACUUAACUCACCCACCUAGAACAUUUUCUUCCUAGGGUUUUCGGUGUGAGAUGUUGAUGAGUUACACAAGCUUGAAUUUUUAACUCUGCCAUUUUUUUUUAUCUCCUUAAGGUUUCCUAAGGCCGUCUAUAGGGAAAGGCUUUCUAUUGGAAGAGACUUGUCUGGCCGAAUCCGACGUGAGAGACGAGGUAGCAACGCGGCAAUUACGAUAAACACGGUAUUCAUCAUAUAAGGGUGUCCAAGCUCCUUAGUUUUAGAAAAUGUUUUAGAAAAUUUGAAGGUAGGGUAUAUUUGAAGUGGACCCGG